rnacentral:rRNA from 1 species
GGGUGAGAAUCCCGUCCACCGAUUGACUAAGGUUUCCAGAGGAAGGCUCGUCCGCUCUGGGUUAGUCGGGUCCUAAGCUGAGGCCGACAGGCGUAGGCGAUGGAUAACAGGUUGAUAUUCCUGUACCACCUAUAAUCGUUUUAAUCGAUGGGGGGACGCAGUAGGAUAGGCGAAGCGUGCGAUUGGAUUGCACGUCUAAGCAGUAAGGCUGAGUAUUAGGCAAAUCCGGUACUCGUUAAGGCUGAGCUGUGAUGGGGAGAAGACAUUGUGUCUUCGAGUCGUUGAUUUCACACUGCCGAGAAAAGCCUCUAGAUAGAAAAUAGGUGCCCGUACCGCAAACCGACACAGGUAGUCAAGAUGAGAAUUCUAAGGUGAGCGAGCGAACUCUCGUUAAGGAACUCGGCAAAAUGACCCCGUAACUUCGGGAGAAGGGGUGCUCUUUAGGGUUAACGCCCAGAAGAGCCGCAGUGAAUAGGCCCAAGCGACUGUUUAUCAAAAACACAGGUCUCUGCUAAACCGUAAGGUGAUGUAUAGGGGCUGACGCCUGCCCGGUGCUGGAAGGUUAAGAGGAGUGGUUAGCUUCUGCGAAGCUACGAAUCGAAGCCCCAGUAAACGGCGGCCGUAACUAUAACGGUCCUAAGGUAGCGAAAUUCCUUGUCGGGUAAGUUCCGACCCGCACGAAAGGCGUAACGAUUUGGGCACUGUCUCAACGAGAGACUCGGUGAAAUCAUAGUACCUGUGAAGAUGCAGGUUACCCGCGACAGGACGGAAAGACCCCGUGGAGCUUUACUGUAGCCUGAUAUUGAAAUUCGGCACAGCUUGUACAGGAUAGGUAGGAGCCUUUGAAACGUGAGCGCUAGCUUACGUGGAGGCGCUGGUGGGAUACUACCCUAGCUGUGUUGGCUUUCUAACCCGCACCACUUAUCGUGGUGGGAGACAGUGUCAGGCGGGCAGUUUGACUGGGGCGGUCGCCUCCUAAAAGGUAACGGAGGCGCUCAAAGGUU